ACACGAAAUCAGCUGCUUUAAAAACCCAAACAUUUGUUUUUGAAACGUAAAUUACACUAUUAUUCUAUGGCAUUAGGUUAUUUUUUAAAAUUGACGAUUCAUUUAAAUUAUGAUUUGUUUAUUGGCAGAUUUUGCUUUAUACUUAAAAAUCCAACAAUUUAAACCUGAUACCUGAUCGUGUGCUGGUUAAGAUGCGCUCAUGCUGUGAUGUUAUUGAGACGGAGGAAAAAAAUAACAAUGUGCCUGGUCCAGUCCUCAUCUCGACCGAGAGCUGGUGACACGGGGGCGGACCAAUCACAUGGUUUGUUUUGGUCCCGCCCUCCGAUUGUGCAUCUUGACACGUGGAGGGGAGAAAAAACCCGAACGCGUAGCGGGCGUGUGGCCGCUUCCAGCGCCCAGCUCAGCUGAUUGGGAGCUGCGGCUAGAUGGAGAGAACGCAUCCGCCCAAUUGCCGGGGUCGGUGGGAUGAUGAGUGCGGAUUCCUGGGCGCGCUUUACUGGCAGAGGAGCAAACAACGCCUGCUCAGCCUUGUUUAGGCUGCUGCUCCGUGGCUCCCCACCCCCCAUCCACACCAACCCCCACCGGCUCCGAUCCUGCAGCGGAGGGGACCCCACCCCGAAUCUGGAAGUAGAGUUGAGAAGAGCACAACACGAUGCCUCGUCAAUGCACGAGGUUCACAGCGGCGGCGCAUUGUGCAGCCUCAUCCGCUGCUCUAAGUCUUUUGCUGUCGCAGCGCGCCGCCUCCACAGCCUUUGUAGCGAGCGCUGAACUGAGAACUUGUCAUCUAAUCUGAAACUUCCAGAGGCUCUAAUGUGUCAGAUGCGGCGGCAGACGACGCGUCCCGGCCCCUUUUCAUCUGAGCCACUCUCCGCGUGCAGCGAGCCAUUCAAAUGCUCCUCCACAGUACAGCAGGGGCCCAGCCAAUGAACACAGCUCUCCCCGAGUUCAUCCAAAGGUAACACAUUUGAAGCCCAGAAGCACCCGAGGGAAACACUUCACCACCAUCACGUGUAUUUUGACACUGCUCCUUUUGCCAGGAAUUAAACGUAACAUUAUACAGAAA